rnacentral:rRNA from 1 species
CCUACGGGAGGCAGCAGUGAGGAAUAUUGGUCAAUGGCCGGAAGGCUGAACCAGCCAUGCCGCGUGAAGGUCAGUGCCCUAUGGGCGUUAAACUUCUUUUGUGCGGGAGCAAUAAUGGUCACGUGUGGCCAGACGAGAGUACCGUACGAAUAAGCAUCGGCUAACUCCGUGCCAGCAGCCGCGGUAAUACGGGGGAUGCAAGCGUUAUCCGGAUUUAUUGGGUUUAAAGGGUGCGUAGGCUGGGAGGUAAGUCAGCGGGGAAAUGCCCCCGCUCAACGGGGUGAAGUGCAAUUGAUACUGCCUUGCUGGAAUGCGGAUGCCGUGGGAGGAAUGUGUGGUGUAGCGGUGAAAUGCAUAGAUAUCACACAGAACACCGAUUGCGAAGGCAUCUCACGAAGCCGCGAUUGACGCUGAUGCACGAAAGCGUGGGUAUCAAACAGGAUUAGAUACCCCGGUAGUC